CCUACGGGUGGCUGCAGUGGGGAAUAUUGGACAAUGGGCGAAAGCCUGAUCCAGCCAUGCCGCGUGUGUGAAGAAGGCCUUCGGGUUGUAAAGCACUUUCAGUGGGGAAGAAAGCCUUGGGGCUAAUACCCUCGAGGAAGGACAUCACCCACAGAAGAAGCACCGGCUAACUCCGUGCCAGCAGCCGCGGGUAAUACGGAGGGUGCGAGCGUUAAUCGGAAUUACUGGGCGUAAAGCGCGCGUAGGCGGUCUGAUAAGCCGGUUGUGAAAGCCCCGGGCUCAACCUGGGAACGGCAUCCGGAACUGUCAGGCUAGAGUGCAGGAGAGGAAGGUAGAAUUCCCGGUGUAGCGGUGAAAUGCGUAGAGAUCGGGAGGAAUACCAUUGGCGAAGGCGGCCUUCUGGACUGACACUGACGCUGAGGUGCGAAAGCGUGGGUAGCAAACAGGAUUAGAUACCCCAGUAGUC
rnacentral:rRNA from 1 species